rnacentral:rRNA from 1 species
GAUGAACGCUGGCGGCGUGCCUAAUACAUGCAAGUCGAGCGAAUGGAUUAAGAGCUUGCUCUUAUGAAGUUAGCGGCGGACGGGUGAGUAACACGUGGGUAACCUGCCCAUAAGACUGGGAUAACUCCGGGAAACCGGGGCUAAUACCGGAUAACAUUUUGAACCGCAUGGUUUGAAAUUGAAAGGCGGCUUCGGCUGUCACUUAUGGAUGGACCCGCGUCGCAUUAGCUAGUUGGUGAGGGAACGGCUCACCAAGGCAACGAUGCGUAGCCGACCUGGGAGGGUGAUCGGCCACACUGGGACUGAGACACGGCCCAGACUCCUACGGGAGGCAGCAGUAGGGAAUCUUCCGCAAUGGACGAAAGUCUGACGGAGCAACGCCGCGUGAGUGAUGAAGGCUUUCGGGUCGUAAAACUCUGUUGUUAGGGAAGAACAAGUGCUAGUUGAACAAGCUGGCACCUUGACGGUACCUAACCAGAAAGCCACGGCUAACUACGUGCCAGCCGCCGCGGUAA